GCCUAGAUGAUCUAGACUUCUCUGUGUCUGC
rnacentral:piRNA from 1 species